CCGGUGUACGGCUGCCACAUGGUGGCCGUCGGCGGGGGAGAGGUGGGACGCACCCGCGCGCGGGGAUGGGGGGGAGCUGGGCCGCGCGUGCGAACGGGCCGAAAGGGAGGCGAGUCGGCCCAACAGCACCUGCCCCCUUUUCUCUUUUUUUUUUGAAUUUCUUUUUUCCAAAUCUUUUCUAGGCAUAAAUGGACUUAUUUAAAAGCCUUUUUCAAACUUUGCCCCAAA
rnacentral:lncRNA from 1 species